UACGGAGGGUGCGAGCGUUAAUCGGAAUUACUGGGCGUAAAGGGUGCGUAGGUGGCAUGAUAAGUUAUGUGUAAAAGGCCUGGGCUUAACCUGGGUAUGCAUAUAAGACUGUUAAGCUAGAGUAUAGGAGAGGGUAGUGGAAUUUCCGGUGUAGCGGUGAAAUGCGUAGAGAUCGGAAGGAACAUCAGUUGCGAAGGCGUCUACCUGGCCUGAUACUGACACUGAGGCACGAAAGCGUGGGGAGCAAACAGG
rnacentral:rRNA from 1 species